rnacentral:rRNA from 1 species
CGGAGGAUCCAAGCGUUAUCCGGAUUUAUUGGGUUUAAAGGGUGCGUAGGCGGCCUGUUAAGUCAGGGGUGAAAGACGGUAGCUCAACUAUCGCAGUGCCCUUGAUACUGAUGGGCUUGAAUGGACUAGAGGUAGGCGGAAUGUGACAAGUAGCGGUGAAAUGCAUAGAUAUGUCACAGAACACCGAUUGCGAAGGCAGCUUACUAUGGUUUUAUUGACGCUGAGGCACGAAAGCGUGGGGAUCAAACAGGAUUAGAUACCCUGGUAGUCCACGCCCUAAACGAUGAAUACUCGCUGUUGGCGAUACACAGUCAGCGGCUAAGCGAAAGCGUUAAGUAUUCCACCUGGGGAGUACGCCCGCAAGGGUG